UAGUCAGGAUAUCACGUCUCAUUUAUUUGUGAUGUCUUUAUGGUUUCCUUUGAUCUGUGACAUCAGAUACAACAGACACUUCUGAAGAGUCCAGAAAUUAAUGCAGAGAACUCCCAGUUGGACAAUCAGUUCCAGACUCCACAGACCCCAGGACACACACUCUAUUCAAGAAUCUGUUGGUGAUGGCUCAGAAGUUUUCAAGCUCGCUUUGGUUCCUUAAAGAUUCUGGAAGUUACAUGCACUCAUAUGUUCAUCGCAGUGCUAUUCACAAUAACAAGGAUAUGGAAUCAACUGAGGUGCCCUUCAACAGUGGACUGGAUAAAGAAAAUGUGGUACAUAUAUG